UUUUAUAAAUAGGGACCUCUCUUUUCCAUUUUUCUCAUCACUUUCAUUUCAUUCUUCCAUCCUCCAAGAGCUUAGAAAGAGAGGGAGUAAUCCAGAGAGAGAGGGAGUGAUCUAGAGAGAGAAUAAGAGGAGAAGAAGAUGAAAGGUAUUGGAAAACUUCAAGGUUUUGCUAAAGAAUUUAGUAUUUUCUUAAACAUCUUAAGGAACAUUGUUAGAAAU
rnacentral:lncRNA from 1 species